GAUUCGGGGCGCAGCAGGCGCGAAACCUUUACACUGCGGGAAACCGCGAUAAGGGGACCCCGAGUGCCAGCACCUAGUGCUGGCUGUCCCGCUGUCUAAACAACAGUGGUUAGCAAGGGCCGGGCAAGACCGGUGCCAGCCGCCGCGGUAACACCGGCGGCCCGAGUGGUAGCCGCUAUUAUUGGGUUUAAAGGGUCCGUAGCCGGCCUAUUAAGUCUCUUGGGAAAUCUGGCGGCUUAAUCGUCAGGCGGCCAAGAGAUACUGGUAGGCUUGGGACCGGGAGAGGUGGGAGGUACUCCAGGGGUAGGGGUGAAAUCUCGUAAUCCUUGGGGGACCACCGAUGGCGAAGGCAUCCCACCAGAACGGGUCCGACGGUGAGGGACGAAAGCUGGGGGCACGAACCGGAUUAGAUACCCGGGUAGUCCCAGCUGUAAACGAUGCUCGCUAGGUGUCAGGUGCGGUGCGACCGCAUCUGGUGCCGCAGUGAAAACUUGAAGCGAGUCACCUGGGAAGUACGGUCGCAAGGCUGAAACUUAAAGGAAUUGGCGGGGGAGCACAAUCACUAGUGAAU
rnacentral:rRNA from 1 species